AAAAAUCCCACCUCUCCCUUGCCCCUGGAAACAGCAGCGUCCUUGUUCUGCUGAGCUCACUGCUGGCCAUACUGAUCAGUGCCAUUUCCUUUGUCUUCGUUUAUUUUAGAAUUAAGCUAUAAGCUGUUUAAGACUGGGCUAUUUUUGUUCUGUACUUGUGCAGGGUCUGUUACAUGAGGAUCCCAAAUGCUAAAGUAACUGCUCUUCCUAAAGGCAGAAGCACUGUGCACGUCAGGAGCAGGAUGGGCAUUGCUCUGAAAGCGAAGUGCUGUGUUUUUGCUCCGAUAAAAUGUUUUGGCAAGCCCAUCCCUGGUCAGAGGAAUGCCUAGGUCAGGGCCAGAACCAUGGCCAUCUUCCGCCCCCGAGCUGGAUUGGCUUUUGUCAGCCAGAUGCCUUCUGAUCUCCACCUUCUCCCUCCGUCCCUCUUCUGACAGUAGCCAUGUGCUCAGCAGGGGCUCUGCAGCCCUGUUUGCUUUAGCUGGGGAGAUGUUUGCCUUUCCUGCAGAACUCCAACUGCCGGGGAAACCUGGGGCGGCUGUGUUGAUUUAUUAGGGCACAGUGUGCCUCAGGAAUGCCUCUGCUAAGGAGCUGGGAGUGAUGGAAGGGAUCCUGCCCGGAGCGGCGUGAAGCCUUCUCGUUUCUCUUUACACAGACUCGAAGCAGGAAUUCCCCAAAGCAAGCUUGAGGCACACUCCUCAGGAAGAGAAAUGAAGGUGUCUCAGCGUUCCCAAGAUCCCAGAUGCGUAAUGCCCGGCAGCCUCUCGGUGCUGCUGCGGGAUGAAUCCACCUGAUGAAUGGUACCGCCUGUGAUUAGUGGACAAGGGGGUUCACCAGGCACGUGGGCUGCUGGAAAGAGUGAGUGGUGCUAUGGGAGAAUACACAUUUGUUCCCUUUAGGUAGGGAGCUCCUGUGAAGGACAAAAGUUGUCUGUUGAGCAGAAAUGGUGAUGUGUCCAGUUCUGCCCUCAGCAGACGUAUUUCCUCCAAAGGUUGCCUGUCCAUUUUCUUGUCUUUGUCUUGGCUCUGCCUCCCUCCCCUGCCAUCCCCCACCCCUUUCCUGAGGGAUUAUCAGGAUGUGCGAACUGCAGCGGUGCUGCACCUCUGGUGCUGUCACUGCAACGUAAAACAACACCUACAAUUAAAUUUUUCUAUGCAAGCUAAUGAGUUUAACCUACAGACAGAAACAAACAAAUAUUCUACUUUCUGAUAGUGAUCUAUGGCCAGAAACGAGCGAGUGAGUGUGACCAAACCUGCAGACAGCCUCCCAGAGCAGGGUGAUGUUCAUAUCUGGCUGUCAGUCACCAUACAGUGUCGUGAGCUGCUUUGUGCUGGCUGAGCGCGGUGGUGUUGACAGCUGUAGACCCUUGAAGAAAUGUCUCCCUGAAACUGAGUUCUCCUGUCAGACUGCAGCCUGUUAAACAGGAUAGCUGCAACUCCUACUUCAGUUCGCCUGGCAAAGCGCUCUGUGAGUAAAUGUGUGGAAUUUGAAUACAGGAAUUUGAAUAUCAAAUGUAGGGUGGUACAGCAGAGAUCCCAGACUGCAUGAGCUGCAGGAGAUCUGCAGAUCUACAUGGACUUGUUGGAGAGUGAAACCCUGGCACCUGGACACUUGG